AAAAUAAAACGUCAACCACAAUGAAAGACAGAGAGAAGUAUUUAACACGACGAAUAUCAAUUAUCGAUUUUGUAUGAUUAUUGUAUGACAACUUUGAAUGGUGCAGUGUUCGUGUGUGCUCACGUGUGUAUGUGCUGGUAUUGAAUUAACGAUGCAUGACAAAGAAAGAUAUACAAAUUGAUCGCUAGCGUAUCGCCUUCAUUGAAUGUACGUUCAGCAUACUCUUUCUUCGAGCAGAAAAAAGAAGUGGAAAGAAGAAAUCGAGGAGUAAACAAGAAGAUGUGUGUGGUUGAACAGCAGAAAGGCAGUCACAUAUAUCUCUCUCGGUCAUCAACGGUUUAGUAAACGGUCGAUCGCCAAACCGUUCACAUCGUUACCGCAGCCGAUUUGUAUUUGUUCGAGAAGAAAUAAGCGUAUCGAAGCAGUGUAGCCUAGUCCGUAUAUCGUACUUUUUUCCACUUUGUUUACAUUCGCAACACACGCUUUCCUUGAUUUUCGCGUUGGCGAUUUUGUUUACAGCAAUCGGACCAACAUGUCUGUGUACAGGACACUCAAUUGGAUAGUAGAAAACGAUUUGCCGAGAUGCACAUCAUGAUUAUAAGGUAUUCGGCAACAGCUUUGGGAAUUGACAGAAUCCUAUACAUUUUUCAUUUUGGGUAAGUAUAUUCCAAUGAAAUUAGACUUUUACGUUUGGGGUGGCUUAACGAAAGGACGGAAAUGAUGUUAAACGAGCUUCUUUACGGAACUCGAAUAAAGUUCCAACUGAAGCAUCCGUAUGACAUCAUUAUCGUACUUUAAUCUAUCGAAGAAGAAGAAAAUCAUUUGAGAAAAGAACCGAAAAAAAGAAUAGAAGAAAAAUCAUAUGGAAUCAACUUCCAAAAGAUCUCAUUUGAUUUCGAAUUCAACGGGAAAGAAUACAUUAAAACCUCACAAAUCACAUCAAUUCAUCCGAGAGAAGAAAGCAAUAAAUUCGAAAUUUCAGGUUGUGUACAAGCGAACACCACAUCAAAUGUUAACAUAUUUAAAAUCAUGCAAAAAUCAAAUUUUCUUAACCAAAAUAAAGAAGAAAAAAAAUAAAAUUACAUGUGUUGAAUAAAAAUGUCGUUUCAUUUCCUAAACUUCCUAAUUGUAAGUAUGAUAAUUUUUUUCUUGGUUUUAUUUUGUCAUGGCUUAAUCUAGGCGUAAAAACUAGCACAUAAAUAAUAAAUUAAGCUUAAUUCAUUUGGAAUAAACAACAAAAGUUAGACGAAAGUUAAGUAAUAAAACGAACAAAAAAAUAACUCAAAAUAAAUGCUUGUAUUCGUUGUUGCGUGUGUGUGUGUAUGUCUUAUUCUUCUACUGGAAAAAAAAGUCAUUGACUAGAAGCGUACACUGAAAAAAGUAAGUCUUGGAUUAUAACACUAAUUUCAACAUGCGUUUUAUCAAUCAAAUAAAAAAAACCACCACAUCACUAUGAAUUGAAUUUCCAUCGAAUUGAAAUGUAAAGCAUCAAUUACAGCAUAGAGAAAGAAAGAAAUGAACAAAGAAAGAGGGAAAAAAACAAACAAACAACAACGGAGGUG